rnacentral:rRNA from 1 species
AACGAACGCUGGCGGCAGGCCUAACACAUGCAAGUCGAACGCCCCGCAAGGGGAGUGGCAGACGGGUGAGUAACGCGUGGGAACGUACCCUUCGGUUCGGAAUAACCCGGGGAAACUCGGGCUAAUACCGGAUACGUCCGCAAGGAGAAAGAUUUAUCGCCGAAGGAUCGGCCCGCGUCGGAUUAGCUAGUUGGNGGGUAAUGGCCCACCAAGGCGACGAUCCGGUAGCUGGUCUGAGAGGAUGAUCAGCCACACUGGGACUGAGACACGGCCCAGACUCCUACGGGAGGCAGCAGUGGGGAAUCUUGCGCAAUGGGCGAAAGCCUGGACGCAGCGA